ACCAUGAAACAAAGGAUUGUGUGAUCUCUCACAAUCUUGUGUUCUUCUCUUGAGGUUCAGCUUGCCAGAAGGGUAUGAUACCCUCCCAGCUCAGGUGAGACUUCCAGAGAUGGACAUUCCAGACACCACAAGUGGUGCAAUUCACAAACAUGAAGGAUGAGGAUACCCUGAGAGAUCUGGGCAAGCUCCAGAAGUGGCCCAUGGGAAUCUAAAGAGAUAUAGCAGGACCAAGUGCUGGAUCAGGGCAGCUCCUGGAAUCAACCUAAGCUGGAGAUGAACAGAUGGAAAGAAACCCUGCCAAGAAGGACUCGGAGGUGAUGGUGGAUGAGAGCCUAGACAUGAUCCAGCAACCUGUGCUGCCAGCAGAUAGCCAAACAUGUCCUGGGAAGCAUCAAAAGCCUGAGAGCAGAGGACAGGGGGAUUCUGCUACUUUGCCCAGCUCAGCCCCAUCUACAGUAGUGCCUGCAGCUUGGGGACCCAGCACAGGAAGAACCUGGAGCUGCUGGAUUUGAAGCAGAAACUGGAAUAUGAGAGGAGGAUGGAAAAAGUCUGAGGAAUGCCUAUAACAGCACUGCGUGUGCCAGGUUCUUCCAGCAGCACCACAUUAAGGAGCCAGAUUGCUCUGAACAGGUAAGCCAAAAACUGUAGUUCAGACCACUCAAAAUUUGGGCUCAUUUUUCAAAGUCAUGCAGCAGUCUGAUCUGUUGCAGUCACCUUAAAAAAAACAGUGUCUCUGUGUGUGUUUGUGGUGGUUGGUUAAUAUUUCCCAGUGGUAUUUUAGUCACGAGCUGUGUUGUGUUUCACUGCAAAUGAAAAUGUUGCGGACACCAAGACAUGGCUGUUCAUGAUUCCCUUUAAUCCAUGGGUAAAAUAACAGACCAAGUCAAGGAGCUGCAAUGCCCAUACUCUCCCUGUUUGUUGAAUGUAUUUGUUUCUAAUAAAAGCAGCAGAACCUAUUCAGAAAUACACCAGUAUGUAAUAUGCAAAUAAAAAACCAGUAUGGAAAUAAUUAAAUAAACCACUUGUGCA